CCGUGACGUCGCGAGAAGUCCACUGAACCUUAUCAUUUAGAGGAAGGAGAAGUCGUAACAAGGUUUCCGUAGGUGAACCUGCGGAAGGAUCAUUGUUGAAACCUACAAAGCAGAAUGACCCGUGAAC
rnacentral:rRNA from 1 species